AGUGAACGCUGGCGGUAGGCCUAACACAUGCAAGUCGAACGGCAGCACAGUAAGAGCUUGCUCUUACGGGUGGCGAGUGGCGGACGGGUGAGGAAUACACCGGAAUCUACUUUUUCGUGGGGGAUAACGUCGGGAAACUUACGCUAAUACCGCAUACGACCUACGGGUGAAAGCAGGGGAUCUUCGGACCUUGCGCGAUUGAAUGAGCCGAUGUCGGAUUAGCUAGUUGGCGGGGUAAAGGCCCACCAAGGCGACGAUCCGUAGCUGGUCUGAGAGGAUGAUCCGCCAGAUGGGAACUGAGACACGGUCCAGACUCCUACGGGAGGCAGCAGUGGGGAAUAUUGGACAAUGGGGGCAAGCCUGAUCCAGCCAUACCGCGUGGGUGAAGAAGGACUUCGGGUUGUAAAGCCCUUUUGUUGGGAAAGAAAAGCAGCAGGUUAAUACCCCGCUGUUCUGACGGUACCCAAAGAAUAAGCACCGGCUAACUUCGUG
rnacentral:rRNA from 1 species